rnacentral:rRNA from 1 species
UACGUAGGGUGCAAGCGUUGUCCGGAAUUAUUGGGCGUAAAGAGCUCGUAGGCGGUCUGUCGCGUCGAAUGUGAAAAUCCGGGGCUCAACCCCGGACCUGCAUUCGAUACGGGCAGACUAGAGUUCGGUAGGGGAGUCUGGAAUUCCUGGUGUAGCGGUGAAAUGCGCAGAUAUCAGGAGGAACACCGGUGGCGAAGGCGGGACUCUGGGCCGAUACUGACACUGAGGAGCGAAAGCGUGGGGAGCGAACAGG